AACGAACGCUGGCGGCAUGCCUAACACAUGCAAGUCGAACGAGACCUUCGGGUCUAGUGGCGCACGGGGGCGUAACGCGGGGGAACCUGCCCGUAGGUACGGAAUAAUUCCCCGAAAGGGGUGCUAAUACCGGAUAAUGUACUCGGACAAAAGAUAUAUCGCCUUUGGAUGGGCCGGCGUUGGUUUAGCUAGUUGGUAGGGUAAAAGCCUAUCAGGGCGUCGAUAGAUAGCUGGUCAGAGAGGAAGGUCCGCCACACUGGGGCUAGGGACCGGCGGAGAAUCCUACGGGAGGCAGGAGAGGCGGAUACAGGAAUAUCGCGUGAAGCCUGAUGCAGCUAGGCCUGGUGAGUGAUGAAGUCCGGAGGGUAAUGAAGCUCUUUUAUCCGGGAUGAUAAUGACGGUACCGGAAGAAUAAGCACCGGCUAACUUCGUG
rnacentral:rRNA from 1 species